rnacentral:rRNA from 1 species
UACGUAGGGUGCGAGCGUUAAUCGGAAUUACUGGGCGUAAAGCGUGUGUAGGCGGCUACGUAAGUCGGAUGUGAAAGCCCCAGGCUCAACCUGGGAAGUGCACUCGAUACUGCGUAGCUUGAGUAUCGGAGAGGUUGGUGGAAUUCUCGGUGUAGAGGUGAAAUUCGUAGAUAUCGAGAGGAACACCGGUGGCGAAGGCGGCCAACUGGACGAAUACUGACGCUGAGACACGAAAGCGUGGGGAGCAAACAGG